rnacentral:rRNA from 1 species
UACGAAGGGGACUAGCGUUGUUCGGAUUUACUGGGCGUAAAGCGCGCGUAGGCGGAUCGCUAAGUCAGGGGUGAAAUCCCAGGGCUCAACCCUGGAACUGCCUUUGAUACUGGGUAUCUUGAGUAUGGAAGAGGUAAGUGGAAUUGCGAGUGUAGAGGUGAAAUUCGUAGAUAUUCGCAGGAACACCAGUGGCGAAGGCGGCUUACUGGUCCAUAACUGACGCUGAGGUGCGAAAGCGUGGGGAGCAAACAGG